UCGGCCUACGGGGCGCAGCAGUGAGGAAUAUUGGUCAAUGGGCGGGAGCCUGAACCAGCCAAGCCGCGUGAAGGAAGAAGGCGCCAGGCGUCGUAAACUUCUUUUGUCGGGGAACAAAGGGCGCCACGUGUGGCGUUGUGAGUGUACCCGAAGAAAAAGCAUCGGCUAACUCCGUGCCAGCAGCCGCGGUAAUACGGAGGGUGCGAGCGUUAAUCGGAAUUACUGGGCGUAAAGCGCACGUAGGCUGUUGUGUAUGUCAGGGGUGAAAUCCCACGGCUCAACCGUGGAACUGCCCUUGAUACUGC
rnacentral:rRNA from 1 species